rnacentral:rRNA from 1 species
UACGUAGGGCGCAAGCGUUAUCCGGAAUUAUUGGGCGUAAAGAGCUCGUAGGCGGUCUGUUGCGUCGGCUGUGAAAACCCGGGGCUCAACUCCGGGCCUGCAGCCGAUACGGGCAGACUAGAGUUCGGCAGGGGAGACUGGAAUUCCUGGUGUAGCGGUGAAAUGCGCAGAUAUCAGGAGGAACACCGAUGGCGAAGGCAGGUCUCUGGGCAUUAACUGACGCUGAGGAGCGAAAGCAUGGGGAGCGAACAGG